rnacentral:rRNA from 1 species
GCCUACGGCCAUACCAGUCUGAAAGUGCCUGAUCUCGUCAGAUCUCAGAAGUUAUGCAGACUUGGGCCUGAUUAGUACUUGUAUGGGAGACAAACUAGGGACCUCAGAUGCUGUAAGCU